AAAUUGAAGAGUUUGAUCAUGGCUCAGAUUGAACGCUGGCGGCAGGCCUAACACAUGCAAGUCGAACGGUAACAGGAAUCAGCUUGCUGAUUUGCUGACGAGUGGCGGACGGGUGAGUAAUGUCUGGGAAACUGCCUGAUGGAGGGGGAUAACUACUGGAAACGGUAGCUAAUACCGCAUAAUGUCGCAAGACCAAAGAGGGGGACCUUCGGGCCUCUUGCCAUCGGAUGUGCCCAGAUGGGAUUAGCUAGUAGGUGGGGUAACGGCUCACCUAGGCGACGAUCCCUAGCUGGUCUGAGAGGAUGACCAGCCACACUGGAACUGAGACACGGUCCAGACUCCUACGGGAGGCAGCAGUGGGGAAUAUUGCACAAUGGGCGCAAGCCUGAUGCAGCCAUGCCGCGUGUAUGAAGAAGGCCUUCGGGUUGUAAAGUACUUUCAGCGGGGAGGAAGGGAGUAAAGUUAAUACCUUUACUCAUUGACGUUACCCGCAGAAGAAGCACCGGCUAACUCCGUGCCAGCAGCCGCGGUAAUACGGAGGGUGCAAGCGUUAAUCGGAAUUACUGGGCGUAAAGCGCACGCAGGCGGUUUGUUAAGUCAGAUGUGAAAUCCCCGGGCUCAAC
rnacentral:rRNA from 1 species